rnacentral:rRNA from 1 species
UAAAUAAAAAUAGCAAGAAUGAGCUAUUAAAAAAAGAUUGAACGAAGAGUUUGAUCCUGGCUCAGGAUGAACGCUGACAGAAUGCUUAACACAUGCAAGUCAACUUGAACUUCGGUUUGGGUG